rnacentral:rRNA from 1 species
AUACGUAGGGGGCAAGCGUUAUCCGGAAUGAUUGGGCGUAAAGGGCGCGUAGGCGGCCUGUUAAGUCUGGAGUGAAAGUCCUGUUUUCAAGAUGGGAAUUGCUUUGGAUACUGAUGGGCUUGAGUGCAGGAGAGGUUAUCGGAAUUCCCGGUGUAGCGGUGAAAUGCGUAGAGAUCGUGAGGAACACCAGUGGCGAAGGCGGGUCACUGGGCUACAGCUGGCGCUGAGGCGCGAACGGUUGGGGAGCAAUCAGGAGUAGAUACCCUGAUCGUCCACGCUGUAAACGGGGAUUGCUAGGUGUAAGAGGGAUCGACCCCUUUUGUGCCGGAGUUAACACAAUAAGCAUUCCGCCUCGGGAGUACGGCCGCAAGGUUGAAACUCAAAGUAGUUGAGGGGG